rnacentral:rRNA from 1 species
UCGCCUGUUUNNCAAAAACAUUGUUUUUUGUUAGGUAUAAAAAAUAAGACCUGCUCACUGAAGUAUUUAAAGAGCUGCGAUAAAUUAAUCGUACAAAGGUAGCAUAAUCAUUUGUUUUUUAAUUGAAGACUGGAAUGAAAGGUAUAACGUGAAAAUUGGUGUCUUGAUUUAAGAAUUUGAAAUUUAUUUUUUUGUUAAAAAGCAAAGAUGAGGUUAAUAGACGAGAAGACCCUAUUGAGCUUGAUUUAUUAGAUUUAUGUGUAGAUUACUAUGAUAAGUCAAAAUAAAUUUUACUGGGGCGGUAGAAGGAAUUUAAGUAUCUCUUUUUUUAAAAAUUAUUAGUUCAUAUAUUUUUAUCCAAGGUGUUUGAGAAAUAAAAAGUUACCAUAGGGAUAACAGCGUAAUUUUUUUGUAGAGUUCUUAUCGAUAAAAAAGUUUGCGACCUCGAUGUUGGAUUAGGGAUCCUAGUUGGCGUAUAAGUUGAUUAAGGUAGUCUGUUCGACUAUUGAAUUCCUACAUGAUCUGA